rnacentral:hammerhead_ribozyme from 1 species
AUCCAGCUAACGAGUCCCAAAUAGGACGAAAGACGCGUCAAAUUGGAU